rnacentral:rRNA from 1 species
UAGGGAAUCUUCGGCAAUGGGGGCAACCCUGACCGAGCAACGCCGCGUGAGUGAAGAAGGUUUUCGGAUCGUAAAGCUCUGUUGUAAGAGAAGAACGUGUGUGAGAGUGGAAAGUUCACACAGUGACGGUAACUUACCAGAAAGGGACGGCUAACUACGUGCCAGCAGCCGCGGUAAUACGUAGGUCCCGAGCGUUGUCCGGAUUUAUUGGGCGUAAAGCGAGCGCAGGCGGUUUAAUAAGUCUGAAGUGAAAGGCAGUGGCUUAACCAUUGUUCGCUUUGGAAACUGUUAAACUUGAGUGCAGAAGGGGAGAGUGGAAUUCCAUGUGUAGCGGUGAAAUGCGUAGAUAUAUGGAGGAACACCGGUGGCGAAAGCGGCUCUCUGGUCUGUAACUGACGCUGAGGCUCGAAAGCGUGGGGAGCAAACAGG